UAAAUGUAUGUGUUACAGAUUUGGGUGUAUAAGACAAUUCCUGUACUAGGGGCCGGCUUUGCGCAGCGAGGGGAGACACGUUGCCCUCGGAUGCAUCAUUGGAGAUCAUUACGAGCGGAGGGAUGUCCCACUGGGAAGCAGUUAUCGGCCCUCCUUGACGAUCCUCAGUAAGUAUUAUGUAUUUGUGAUUUAUAUUAUACGUAGUUUAAAAUUUUGUUUACAUGAUCGUUAAGUAGUUGAAAUGUCAAUAUGUCAGUUUGAAGUCAUACCUGAGUUGACGCCGUCGAUGGAAGAGGAGGCUCGGGGUCUUGUACGGGAUUUAGGCAUUCUGCACACCCCAAACAAGGAGAUGUCUGAUCCGAGCUUGGAUUGAGAUUGGGUAUGUGAAUGAAAUAUAAUUUAUUGAAUAUCGUCGACGUAUAAAUUUAUUGAAUAAUUUUUCAUUUUAUUUAUGUAGGAGGGCGGUCCAGCUGAUCAACGAUCACCUCCGUCGAGGGCAUCACCGCCACCAUUGGCAUCACUUCCGCUGAGAGUAUCGUCCCACCCAUUGGCAUCACCUCCGUCGAGAGCAUCAUCGCCGCUAGUGGCAUUACCUCUGCUGGGGCCAUCGCCGCCGCCAUUGGCAUCACCUUCGUCCAGACACCUCCCCCGUGUGUCUUCGGGGUACAGUGAUGAUUUGUAUGCCCGUUUGGUUGGAUUUAUAGCGGAGGAGGUCGGCGCGCUUUGACGAGAUUUGACGGAGAGGGUCGAUGAUCUGGGACGAGAGUUGACAGGGAGGGUAGACGAUCUGGCAGGGAAGGUCGACUAUCUGACAGGGAGGGUCGACGAUAUGGGACCAAAGUUUACAGGAAGGGUUGACGGUCUAUCACAUGAUAUUGGAAUACAAUAGUUUUCAGUUGUCGACCUUCAAGAUACAGCAGCGACGCUUAGAAGAGAUUUAGCCGGCAGACGAUGGGGGGACAGAGUGGAUGGCGAAGAUCAUGAUCGAGAGGGUGGCAGAGAUGGUGAUGGAGAGGGGGGUCACCCACAUUUUUGGCAUGAUGAGAUAUUGGAGUCAUUGUGAUUGUCUAUGGAGGGCGUGGCACCGAUGGGAGGGACAGAGGAGGUGGCGACAGAGGGGGAGGCCUCAAUGGGGGGUGAAGGAGGUGGCCCCGAAGGUCCAGAGGACGCCCGGCGUGAUUGAGGGUAAGAAACAUGCUGUUGACAAGAUAGAGUAAGUGGUCGGCAAGAGGUUGAGAGUGCCGCCAUAGUAUGUUGUUCCCCCCUUCACGGCUGAGGCCAAGAGGAUGACGUUCAUCGAUUGAACGUACUUGAACUUAUUCGGAGAGAUGGACAAUGCCAAGUGGAAAGCGUUUGAGACAAAGUGGAGGAGAAUUAUCCCCCGGGUAAGUAUUAUAUGAUUUUAAUAAAGCACUGUACGCUAACUCGUUUACGCUUAUUUUAACAUUUCCCUAUUUUUUACAGAGUUAGCCGCACGAUAGGUCAAAGGACGGUCUCGGACCCUUACAAGUGGUUCCACGAUAUCACCACUGCGGGAGCUUGGCUCGCUGACGAUGUAAGUGAACUAUUCAUUUCGUGUUUUUUAUGUAUAUGUGACCUUGUGUUUAUUAAAUGAAUAACUCAUACUUUUUUUGUGUUUUUUGUUGCAGCACAUCGACCUGGCCAUGGACUUGCUGCGAGAUCGAGCUCAAAGACAUCCAAAAUCAUUUGAUGUCCAUGGUCGAGUCAUAUUAAACACCGAGUUCCUGCGUGCCGUUACCAUAGAGUAUCAGUCGCUCGAACUUAUGGGUAACGAGUACACGGUGCCAAAAUAUAUGCUCGAGUGGGUGAUAGGACUGUCACCGAGUGUCAGGGGAAAAUCAUGGGAGGUGGUACACAUAUGUACAUUCCAGCAUGCAUCAAUAAAUACUAUGUUACGUUGGAGAUCGUUUUUGCUGACUCGACUAUAUAUGUGUACAACCCAGAUCAUUCAUGUUUGACACAAGGCCAGUUGGAGCAAAACCUGGAGUCUGUGGCUGUAAUUGUUCCUAUGAUGGCCAGACGAGCGGGGAUAAAUGUACAUGACAGAUUGUGGAUCGUUUGAAACACAAUCACAGCGUGACAGUCCGUAAGGUAAGUGUUUGAACUUUGUUG
rnacentral:lncRNA from 1 species